rfam:Triticum aestivum genome assembly, contig: Triticum_aestivum_CS42_TGACv1_scaffold_049345_1BS
CUUGUACUCCCUCUGUCCAAAAAUACUUGUCAUUGAAAUGGAUGUAUCUAGAUGUAUUUUAGUUCUAGACACAACCAUUUUGAUGACAAGUAAUUCCGGACGGAGGGAGUACUUA